UUCGAAUGAGAUUAAUAUACGAAUUGGAAGUUCUAUUGGUAGAAUGACUCGGUUGUCAACUUCUAGCAGUCGUAGUUCACCUAGUUUUAAGUCGUUUGUUGGAAUUAUGUAUGAGUUGAAGCAUAAGUCUUCUUAGUCUGUGUAUUCAUAGCUUCAGUAUCAUUGAUGUCCUAUAGUUUUUAUGGUUAGAACAGGAUUAUUGAUUUCAUCUAUUAUAUAUAGAAUUCGUAGAGAUGGUAAGGCAAUUAGGAUUAGGAUUGCAGCUGGUAAAAAUUGUUCAGAUUGUUUCUACUUCUUGGGCAUCUAUUGUGCUUGUGUGUGUUAAUUUUGUUGUUAGUAUUAGAGAGAUAAUAUAUAGGACUAGAGAGCUGAUAAGAAAUACAAUUAUCAGAGUGUGGUCAUGGAAGUUUAUUAAUUCUUCUAUGAUAGGUGAUGUAACAUCUUGUAGACCUAGUUGAAAUGGACUCCUAGAAGAUGACA